rnacentral:rRNA from 1 species
UACGUAGGGACCAAGCGUUGUUCGGAUUUACUGGGCGUAAAGGGCGCAUAGGCGGCGUGUUAAGUCAGCUGUGAAAUCUCCAAGCUUAACUUGGAACGGUCAGCUGAUACUGAUGUGCUAGAGUGCAGAAGGGGCAACCGGAAUUCUUGGUGUAGCGGUGAAAUGCGUAGAUAUCAAGAGGAACACCUGAGGUGAAGACGGGUUGCUGGGCUGACACUGACGCUGAGGCGCGAAAGCUAGGGUAGCAAACGGG